AUGGGAUGGGACGGAAUGGAGGGGAGGGGAGGGGAUGGGAUGGGAAUUGGUGGUGGGUCACCUCCAGCUCUGCUCCAGGCGAGUUUUCCUCCCUGCACGCGGGGACGUGCCCUGCCUCCCCCGGGAAGCGCUGUGGGGUCAGGGCACAGCCAGCCCCUUCCCUGCAUCACCCCUUGGUGUCCGCUCACCGCAGGCCUGGUCCCGACAGCCCAGCUCUGUCCCCCCCCCGCAGGCCAGCAGCCACCUCGAGCACUGCAGCUCGUAGGCAGGAGCAGGGUCCCCUUCCCCUUCCCCUUCCCCUUCCCCUGCCCACACGCCAGCUCCCCCGACCGCGCAGCAGGGAUGCUUUGCCCCCACGUCCCGCCCAGCAGCAGGUGCGUUUUGGGGUUAAACACUGCUUUUUCAGCUUCCCCUUCCCUCUUCCUGCACGGCACCGACCCUUUUGGGGUCUGUCCCAGCUUUUCGUGUGCCGGGGUCCGGGAGGGAUCUGGCAAACACGGGAGGGAGGCGAAACGCCCCCGAGCUGUGCUGUCCCUGCUCCUGCCCGCGCUCCCUCGCUCCGCUGCGGCACCGUCCUACAAAACCCUCUGCUGCAGUAACGCACGGCUGGAAAAAAAAAAACCAACAGCCAGCCGAGCCGUGCGUGCACGCAGCGGCCCUGCCCGUAACGCCGGCUGCUUUCUGGCUCCGCACGGGGACAACUCGGAGUUAUCAUCUGCACCGGAGCCCCGCGGGCUGCCGGCCGCUGCUGCCGGAACGCGACGGCUCCGGAGCCGGGACCGGGGCUGGAUGCGGCCCCGAGGCCUCCCCUGGGCUCUCGGCUGGUGCCCAAGCGUGGGGCCGUCGAGGUUUGGGGGCUGCUUUGCUUUGGGCAAUCCGAGCCAGGACCUGACCCAUUUUUCCCAGGUCUCGGGAGAGGCUGGAUCCAGCCUCGGCUUCUCUUGUGCAAACGUUCCCUGCUUGAUCCUGGGUGCGUGUGGGAUCUGGGGCCGCGAUUCCUGGUGCGAGGGUCUCAGCACCAGCACCAGGCUGUACCCAUCCCGCUGCAGACCCCCCGGCAGCACCCCGUGCCCGCCAGCACGGCCCUGCCACCCUCCCCGUGCCCGCCGUGCCGGGGCUUUGUGCUGGAAAAAAGGAGAGCAAACGUGGGCGAGGAACGGGGGGGUGGAUGUGUACGUGCCGGUAUGGGGGGGGCACACCGCAGGGAGCCGUGGGGACGGCCCUCGCUCAGCACCACCGAGGAGCUGA
rnacentral:lncRNA from 1 species